rnacentral:lncRNA from 1 species
GUUUGUACUUUAAAAUACUACUAAAAUUAUAAGGUUUAUUUGUUCUAUAAGUAAAUAUAUUAUGGAUUUUGUCAAUUACUUAUCAAAUGUCAUUGAAUUAUUCUAGACAUCAGAUAAAACUGCCACACAUGGGAUUGUAUGUAUAUAUAUAAGACGGUGUAAUAUCCUGUCAAAAAAAUAUAUAUAUUUAUUUUUUUUUUGGCUAUACUUGCUAUUUUAUUAUUGAUUUUUGAAAAAAAAAAUAUCAGUAGACCAACAAGUUACGGCUUUCUCCAUAUAAAACAAACAAUUGCAAGACGAUAAUUACGUUUGCUUUGGGGGACUAUUUAACCUAGUAACAUAAUCAUCUUCCUUUAAAUUCAGGUCCUGAUCUAAUUUUCGCUGUUGUCACUAUUGACAUUCAAGAGUUAUGCCUCUUAUGUAGAUCCAUUGAUACAGAACGCCUACUAUAAGAUAUUAUUUUAAAGAAUAAUUAUCCCGCCGAAGGUUCAUUUUCUGUGUAUACUUUAACUGUCUACCUCCAACAUUAAAAAUGCUGCCAUGAUAUUACAAAAACUGCUGAUUGUGGUGUUAAACACCAGAGGUCAAUCAUAUGGAGAAUAAAGGCUAAGUCGUCAACAAGAUUGUGUGGUCAUACAAAAAUGCAAAGGUGUGGAAGUAGAAUUUAAGAAUAAAUAAAGAAAACUCUUUGUUUGAUGCCUUUGAAAAUAUCAUUGUCGUUGCUCUGACAUGAUCAGUAUUUCCAUUGUUCUCCAUUUGUAACCAAGUUUGGUUGUUUUUUCUAGAUAUCUGUCUCACAGUCUGUGUAAUUUUAAAUUUACUCUAAAAAUGUACAUUCUUUAUGAGCCUGAUAUUUCAGACAAUGCUUUAAGAAUUCAAACAUAGCUAGUUACAUUUAGAUAAAUUAUCUAAUAAAUAUCAUUAAUAGACAGAAUUUAUAAUAAAAAAACAUUGUACGGUGAUGGUCAUUUAAAAAAUUAUUGUAGAUCUUGAGUGACUGAAAUCUCAUAUUGUUUUUAUAAAGAGUAUUUUUACAAAAUCCAAACAAAUUCAGUGUCCAAUGGUCUUUGUACAAAUACCAUUUUUCUUUUUAUUAUUUAUACAAAAAAGUAUUUAAUUUGCUUUUGUGAUACUUAGG